GAGGGGAUAGCUCAGUGGCAGAGUCACGUGCUUAGCAUGCAUGAGGUCCUGGGUUCAAUCCCUAGUACCUCCA
rnacentral:tRNA from 1 species